rnacentral:lncRNA from 1 species
GCGGUAUGUUCAUCCUCCAUAUCCAUAUGCUUCGUCGUUUUUCUGUUGAUGCGUAAUUUCCUUACAAUAAUUCUUUUUUCUCUUAAGCAUUACUAUCCCAAUUCCUGAAUCACAUCUCCCACUUGGAAAACUGAAAGCAACUGUCAUGGACUGCAUUGGACAUUUGACUCCACAUUCUUUUCCUGUUUUCAAACAAAAACUUUUUAAGAGUUUGUGGUGUUUUUUAAUGAAUGAAUAACACAACAUCACAAGUAUUUGAAAGGAAACAUGGGGAGUAACAAACAUGUGAAACUGCUACAGAUGUAUGAAACAUUUGGACAUUGUUGAUGGAACUAUUGGAGUAGUUCAGCAAAUACCAUUCUGUUUCUUUAUUCAUGUUUUUAAUUCCAUGAGCAGGCUGAUGUUGAUGGAAAUGGUACCAUUGAUUAUGGGGAGUUUAUAUCUGCCACAAUGCACUUGAAUAGAUUGGAGAAGGAAGACCACAUACUCAAAGCUUUUGAAUAUUUUGAUAAGGACCACAGCGGGUAACUCCAUUUAACUUUGGUUGAACUUGUUCUGCAAAUCUGGAUUGUUCCCAUUUGAUUUCCUCACUGUUUAGAUCUUUCUG